AUAAUCCUCCAGGCUUCCAGAACAGGUGACUGGUAGCUCUGGUUUUUCAACUGAUAGCUAAUCAGUGUUAUGUAUGAUCUUGGAUGCAGAA